GGCAACUUACUUGGAGCGGAGCGGCUGUUUGGAAGAGCGGGAAUUGAGCGGAGCGGAGCCGAGCCAAGUGGGAUGGGAGGGACGAGGGAGGCGGUGCCGCCGCUUUUGUUUUGGGGAAGUGAACUGGACUCUGUGCGAAACUGAGGCAACAGGAGGAAGAGAAGCAACCCGCCAACAGACGGAGUUGGCAGUCAAGUCGGUGCUUGGGGAGAGGUGCAGGCGGAGACUUGCUUUUCACGGUUGCCUCAGGAAUUUGGGAAGAGACGGUUGAUUCCCGGCGGCAUUCUCCUUCCCCCCCCCUCCGCUGAGACGCGCGAGGGCAAGCUCAAACGAUCCCCGGGGCAGCCGGAGAGUUCUGAGCAGCGCCCUAACGGCACCGAAGGGAAGAGACGACGGAGGCGCAUAGUGAACAUGGACAAGAGAAAGAAAAACAAAGAGUUGCCUGAGGAGGAAAGGAAGAAGGUAAUAGCCGAGUAUGGUAAAGGUAAAGGCUAUAAAAUGUUCCCUAAAGACCUUCAUGUAUCUGUGACCAAGCUUGCUAAUAUCAAGAAGUUUAAAGUCCACAGGAUCCUAGGUAACCUCCCUGGAUGUGGGCGCAAGAGAAAAAUUGACUCCAGAUUGAAUAGAAGGAUAGUUUGAAUGGUGGAGAAAGAACCAAAGAAAACUUAAAAACAGAUGCUGGCUGUGAUCCAAGUUCAUGAUACAGGUUUGCUGUAAGCAAUUUACAACAGCUAUGACACCUGCUGUCCAAGAGAAAGCAAUGAAAAGUCAUAGUGUCUAUAUAUCUUCUUUACCUUCAAGAGAGAUGGAGUCUAGUGAAACACUAGCAAUGGAAAGUACUAGACCAGUAAAAGAGAAGAUAAAUGAUGGUUCUACUACAAGUUUUUCUUGUUCUAUUUUGGGGUUUCCUGCUUCUCAAGUCAACCACAAUAUUGAUUGCUUUAAUUUAAAAUACUUUGAUCCCCAGUCGUCUAAACAUUGUUCUUUAUUAAUGAGUCCUAAUUUAACAUUCAGUGUAAACAGUAAUUGUAUCCAGAAGAACUUAGAAGAGCAUAAUUGCUCCAAGUUGAGAAAUCCUGUAUGUAACAGCACUAAUACACAUUUCAAUCAGAGUAUUAAUUCAGAAUCUGGAGAACAGAUGAGAAGGGAUGUUUUAUCAGGAACAAAGAAAAGCUUUCUGGAAACAGAGAAAUUACUGGAUUUACACUUAAGUGAAUUGAAGAACACAGAAGAAAAGCAGUUUCCAAACUGUAAGUGGUAUCGGAGAAAUGGCUUUUGUGGCAAGGCUUUAUUUGUUAAUCCUGAUACAAAAAAAGGAGACCUGUUCCAUCAGAUGUUCCAUGAUGCCCCAGAAGUAACAGUAAAUUGCAAUCCUGGCAGCAAAGAACAGGAAUUAAAUUUUCGCUUACUUCAGUGUGUAAACAAGCAACAGGCUUUGUUAAACCAGGCCAAAAGAAGUCAGAAACACUUGCAAAUUUUGUUGGCAAAGCAUAUUGUCAAACAUUGUGACCAGCAGAUGAAAUGCUUUGUGAAACAUCAGCUGCAGAGAGUGAAAGCUUUUCAUGAUACAAACAAUCCUUUGGAUGGAAACUAUGAAAAAUGUACUACGGUUAAAGUUGAAAACAGCCUAGAAGCUAAUAGGAGUAAAGACACAUGGUCUAAUUUGGGUACUGCAUCUGAUGAAAUCAAGCUGUUUGCUUGUUCUACAGCAGAACUGCUGUCUCAAGUGGAAGGAAGUUUGGAUUCUGAAGCAACUUGUAGCAGUUCUAGUGAAGAUGAUGAUGAACAGAUUUCCAAAACAAUUGUGCCAAUUAACUGUAGAUCUGAUUGGAAAUGGUUGGUAGAAAGAGCUAAAGUUGGCUAUCAGUGGACAUGGCUUCAGGAUCAGAUUUCUGAGCUGGAAUACAAAAUUCAACAACUUACUGACCUUCACAGACAGAUCCGUGCCACCAAGGGAAUGGUGAUUUUAGAAGAAUGUUCAGUCCCAAAAGACAUCUUGAAGAAACGUACACAAUUACCAGAUCAAGAGGCAUUGAAUUCUACAGGGAAUUCACAAGCUUUCCUACAAAGGCAGGAUGUUUGGCCAGAACAUGAUUUUGAAAUGUCACCCAGCAGUCCAACUUUGCUUCUUCGUAAUAUUGAAAAACAGAGUGCUCAGCUGAGUGAAAUAAUAAGCAGUCUGAUUGCUCCCCUUAAUCUAUCUCCAACAUCAUCCUCAUUUUCUUCAAAAAUCUGUAAACAGAAUGAAUUGGUUAAUGGCAUCUCUUUACGUGAAUCAGAGAACAAAGAAGAAAUUUCAUCUUCUAGUAGUUGCCUGGCUGAUCAACAACAUCUAAAGAGAAGAAGGAAAGAAAAGAUGAAACUGAAAACACCUACUGUUGCUCUGAUGAGCACAUCUGCUCGCACUAGACCACUUCUGAGUUUCCAGAGGAGAAAGCCAUAUAGAAUGAAUACAGCUUUUACUUUGAAUAACCAGGCUUUGCAUCAGGGCAGUACCUUGUAUAAUACAGAAGAGAUUGCAAGCAGCAAAAGAAAUAAUUACAAGUUUAGCAUCAAUUCUAGUAUAUGCAAGCAACUCAUGUUGGAACUGGACACAUCAUUCCAUCCUGUUUUAUCAUUUCCUUCAGAUGUUCCUUUACAUGUUCAUUUUAAAACUUUACUCAAGAAAUAUGAACUCAAAGGUGAUGCUUUUGAAGGUGCUGCUCUUGGUUUAGAGUACAAAAUAUCUCCAUUAAACGUUUUUAGUCAAAUUAAAGCUCCUCUUCAACAGUUGAGCCGUGGAUAUGAAUCCACUUCUAAACAUCAAACUAUGGCAAAAGUAUCUGAACAGUUUCCAGAGGGAAGGAAGAAAAGACAUUUAAGCGAGACAUUGUCUGGAGAAAAUAAUAGUUGUGAAGCAUUGACUUUUCAGCAUGAAGGACAGGAGUCUUACAGUAAUUUUACAGCAGUAUCCAAUGUUGACAUGUUAUCUAGAUCAAGUCACAGUAUCUCUUCACAGUUCAAUUCAAGGCGGAGACUGAGAAGUGAGUGUUCCUAUGACAUAGAUAAUAUUGUUAUUCCUAUGUCAUUAAUUGCACCAUCAAAACUGGAGAAACUUCAGUAUAAAGAAAUUCUUACCCCAAGACAUUCACAACAUUUGUUUGUCAUUACUGAUGUUCAUUGCAAGUCAGUGAAACAGUAUCUAGUCUAUCAGGACAUUGCUACCUUAGCUACCUUAGAAAGAGGAAAGAAAAUGAACCAAUUACAAAGCUGGAGAAUAAUUAGCCUAAAACCUUUAGAAAAACUGCAUGAGGAUGAAGAGAAGGCAGAAGAUCUGUCUGAUGAUAUCUACGCUGCACGUCAUUCAAAAUAUGAAGGCAAAGAAAAAGCACGGUGGUCACUGUGGGAAAAGUGUCGAUGUCCUAGAAGGAAUAGAUCAUAUAGCAGAAAUUUUGAGGAACAAGAUGCAUCACUGAAAGAAAAACAAGCAAAUUCUAAUUUAACAGCUUAUAUUUCGGAAAACACUGCAGGCAUAACUUCAGAAGUCUACAAUUCUCAGUACUUGGGAACAUCAGAGUCUUCGGGGAAAAAUCAAUCAAUGACUCUUCUCUGGGAACGUCGGGCUUUUCCACUAAAAAAUGAAGAAGUAGAAACUUUAAUACCCCAGCGUCAGCUAGCAGCUCAUCAAGAAUGUUCAAAUAUGUCUGUUCUUAGAGACUCUGACCAUAACCCAUACACUGCCUUUAGUUUUCUGAAUGAUAACCAGUCACAAAAGGAGAGUUCUAUCUCUGAAGUGGAAAACCACCAAAUUUACUUGGGAAGAAAACAGACGUGACAGAGAGUAAAGUUGCUUAUUUAGGACAGUAAAUCAAACUGAAGGAAGAUGUAAGGCAGGAUGAGAAUGCAAGAGCUAUUUAUUUAUCUGAAUUCCAAGAAUGUUUUUUGUCCGGUAGACUAACAUACUUGAUGUGAAAAAUGGAUGCUCUUAAACUGUAACCUCAAAUCACCGUCCCAUCUUGAUCAAAUAUGCAAAGUGUCUAGUUAUUGCAGUGCAGCAAAAUAUAUCUUUGCAUUUAGCAAGUGGUAAAAAAAUUUAUAAAUUUAUUAAUAGAUCAUAUAUUUGAAUUCAUUAGGCUAGACAAGUUAAAACUACAGAUGAGAUAAAGUCAGCUUAAAUGAUUUAAUUUUCUCUACUUCAAUGGAUUUCUCCCUCACCGCCAUUAUUUUAAAGGUAAGUAAUAGAAGUAUCUGAGAAAUUCAGAUUUUUGAAGUAAGGGAAUCUAAUAUUUUAUUGCAUUUAGCAGUAUUUAUACUUAUUUAACUCUUUUUGUAUCCCUACAAAUACUAUGUAUGUGUUACAAUCAGCGGAUUAUGAGCAUCCAUUUUUGUAUCUUAGAAACUUUAAAUAUAUAUGGAAAAAAGGACAUUUAAAUAUAAGCAUUAUGAGCAAGACAAAAUAGCUGUUUUAGGUAAUGAGAAGACAGAUGAAAAAGUUCUCAUUCAAAUUUCAAAAUGCUGCAUUACAAUGUUACAUGUAUCCACCAGGGAUGCUAGGUGAAUAGAUAUUGCACAGGAUUGUUGUGUGCAUUUACUGAUAACAAUUCAAGAUAGCUCUUCUGUGAGGAACUAUUGAUGGUUUUUAUUAACAUAUGAUUUUAAGUAUGCUUUUUAAAACUAUCAUUUCCCAAAGUUAGCUUUAAUGGAUAGAUGGCCAAAUUUUAGUGUCCCAUUGUCCCAGCAGAUUAGAAGUACACUGGCUAAUAUAAAAAUGUUAAGUUGCAUUUUCACACUACAGCCUAUGUUAGAUUGUAGUUUCCUGUAUAUUUUGGUUUUAGUUUUUUAAAUAUUUUGUCCAGAAAAUUAACUUUGAAUCUUGCCUGAUAUACCAAUUUUCAAUGCAAGGUUUUAAAAUUAAAAGUUAUUUCUCUAUACUACAGUGUGAUGUUAAUGGAUUGAAUUGUGUAACAAAAAAUGAACAUAAAUAUAAUAUCCCUUUAGUAUUUUGUAUUUAAUUAUGACAAAUCAUGAUUGGGAGAUACUGUUGGCUUGGCAUCAAAUGUUUUACAUAAUUGUGAUGAAUAUGAAACGACAUUUUUUCCCCUCUGAUUUGCUUUCCAAAACUGAAGUCUGUAUUUUUGUUGGUCAACCUUAUUUCUGGUUUAUCAUCUUACAUUUCUUUUUAAUAUAUAAAUUACAGUGACUUCUAAUAUAUGAGUGUCCAGCCAGAAUGUGAAAAAUGAAAACAUGCAUUCUUUAAAAAAGGAUUUUUAUUUUAUUGAUUUGAUUUUCACUCUUAAAACAGAGCUUAUUAUGACUUACAUCUUUAUUACAAUGAGCUAAAUGGUGGGCUUUGAUCAUUUGAAAGAUGAAAUUCUUUUUUCUGGUAAGUUACUUUUUUCAUAGUAAUAAAUUUCUUGUGAAUAUCUAUUCUUACAGUUGAUGACAAGUGAAGGAGAUGCAAUUCAUACAUAUAUUGCUUUGGUCUAUUAUAGAUGCCUGUUGUAUGUCUGCUAACUUCUACUUAGUUAUUUUAAAUGAAUUUAAAGAUCUAUGUAAACAAUUAUAUUGUAUUAUUCUUAACAUCCGCAAAAUUUCUUAGUCAAAUUUAUUGUUUUAUUAAAUAUUCUGUUGAAUUCAAUAGGGCUUACUCUUAGUCAAAUCUUAGCCAAAAGAUUGCAGCCUUUGCAGAUUAGAUAAACAGAGCCAGAACCCCUAAAAGUUUGCUAUCAAUUCCCAAAACAGCAAAAAGUAUGCAUUUAACCACCUUAUCUGCCCAGACCUGGAGUAAAAAAUAUUUAUUUUAAUACAAUUGGACAACAGAAAAAGGCUCUAUAUAUUUUCUUGUUUUUAUACUCUUCAGCUUAUUCUUCAUGCAAAUGGAGAUACAGUUAUCAACAUUUUGUUUUUUUAAAAAAAAGAUCUGUACAUCCCUGUUCUUUAAUAUUGUCUCCCUCUGUUUUUUCAGCAUGAAAAGGGCAGGAAAUAGACCAAGUUUUUUUUUUAAAUUUCAAAACAUAUUUUCAAUAAAGCCAAUUAAAAAAAUUAAUGUCAAACAUUCCACUGAAAAGAGAAUUGCAAUAUUUGUCUUCAUUAUCCUAUUUGUCUUAAGAAAAUGAUAGAAAUGUUGUAAUUUGAUGUGCCAAUUUUGACUGGAAGACUGUUUUUCAUUCAAAAGGCAUUUGACAGGCACCAAAUCAUAAAAUUUCCUUAACUACUUUUAUAGUAUGAACUAUACAUCUACAAUGAAAUUUCUGAAACAUCUGUAUAAAUUGGGUAUCAAAAAGAAUGUGCAUAUGUGCAUAUAUAGAAGAAACAAAUUAUUUUCAAUUUGCAAGUAACUUAUACAAGCUGAAUGAUAAUUAACAUUGCUUCAAAGCCCAGAUAUGCAUUUUUUUUCAGGCUGAGGGUACAACCAAGAAUUGGGUGGAUUCCAAGAAGAUAACUACAUUUAAUGUAAAUUACUUUCCAAGUAUUUAAUAGUUUUUCCUUCUGUCAUUGUAACAGUUACAAUUGAUGACAAUUUU